rnacentral:rRNA from 1 species
AACGAACGCUGGCGGCAGGCUUAACACAUGCAAGUCGAGCGCCCCGCAAGGGGAGCGGCAGACGGGUGAGUAACGCGUGGGAAUCUACCCAUCUCUGCGGAACAACUCCGGGAAACUGGAGCUAAUACCGCAUACGCCCUUCGGGGGAAAGAUUUAUCGGGGAUGGAUGAGCCCGCGUUGGAUUAGCUAGUUGGUGGGGUAAAGGCCUACCAAGGCGACGAUCCAUAGCUGGUCUGAGAGGAUGAUCAGCCACAUUGGGACUGAGACACGGCCCAAACUCCUACGGGAGGCAGCAGUGGGGAAUAUUGGACAAUGGGCGCAAGCCUGAUCCAGCCAUGCCGCGUGAGCGAUGAAGGCCUUAGGGUUGUAAAGCUCUUUCACCGAUGAAGAUAGUGACGGUAGUCGGAGAAGAAGCCCCGGCUAACUUCGUGCCAGCAGCCGCCGUAA